rnacentral:rRNA from 1 species
UGGGGGAAUAUUGGACAAUGGGCGCAAGCCUGAUCCAGCAAUGCCGCGUGUGUGAAGAAGGCCUUCGGGUUGUAAAGCACUUUUGUCCGGAAAGAAAUCCUUGGCUCUAAUACAGUCGGGGGAUGACGGUACCGGAAGAAUAAGCACCGGCUAACUACGUGCCAGCAGCCGCGGUAAUACGUAGGGUGCAAGCGUUAAUCGGAAUUACUGGGCGUAAAGCGUGCGCAGGCGGUUUGCUAAGACCGAUGUGAAAUCCCCGGGCUCAACCUGGGAACUGCAUUGGUGACUGGCAGGCUAGAGUAUGGCAGAGGGGGGUAGAAUUCCACGUGUAGCAGUGAAAUGCGUAGAGAUGUGGAGGAAUACCGAUGGCGAAGGCAGCCCCCCUGGGCCAAUACUGACGCUCAUGCACGAAAGCGUGGGGGAGCAAACAGGAUUAGAUACCCUGGUAGUCCACGCCCUAAACGAUGUCAACUAGUUGUUGGGGAUUCAUUUCCUUAGUAACGUAGCUAACGCGUGAAGUUGACCGCCUGGGGGAGUACGGUCGCAAGAUUAAAA